UUAGGGCGGAACUUGUGCGUACGCUGGAAAACCGCUGGGGUGCGCGAUUCCGCACGGGGGCGCACAUGCGCAGUCUGGGGCCACGGAAGACUACAUACUGGGCCAGUAACAGGAAGGCACAAAGCUGACUGAAGGUUUAAAAAUUACUUCGUCAAUUUGAUUAAUGAGGAGAAUGAAUCAGAAAAUUUCAAUUUCUCCCGUGGCUAACUGUCGAGUAUCCACUUCAAGAUCAUUCCAUCGGAAAGAGGUCGAAAAUGUACAGUAGGCAUGCACAAAGGAUACCGCCUGGAAAGAAG